rnacentral:tRNA from 1 species
AAUAAAGUACCUUUUAUAGGAUAAUUUUUAUAAAAUUAAUAUAUAUUGUAUAAUAUCUUUAUUA